AUUACUCUAGAACAAGCAAUAAGUAUAGAUCUAUAAUGAAUAUCACAACAAGGCAGAUCUAUAGUUUGGGGCUAAUCCCACAAACCUAUCUGAACCCUGGAUUCAAAAGGUGGAUCUACUCAGACAUGAAAACAGAAAUCAUAGAUGAAUAGAUAUAAAACUGAAAUAGAAUAGAUAAGAAAACCAAUGGAGUUCCAGGAGGACUCUGAUAGGAGUUCCUCCCUUCUCUUCUCUAAGAGAAACAAUGAAAAUGAAAGCGUGUAAAAAGCGUUGCCGUCAACAAUGGCUUAAAAAUAACAUAUAUAGGGUUUCUGGUCGUCCAAGGGUAUUCUGGUAAUUUGUGGUUACUUCUGGGCUUCACAUAGUCAUAAAAUAUACAAGGCCCACGAUCUGGGAUCUCCAUCGAUCGACGUGCAGAGUGCUGAAUCGAUCGACGUGGCUUCCUCUCGCGAGGCAGACUGACUACUCUUCAGUAAAAUGGGAAUAACUUCUGCUACAGGAUGCUGAUUGACCUAAGACAAGUGGCAUUGGAAAGCUAACUCAAAGUUCUAUCUUGAGUCAAAAUAUGGGCUCAAUCUAACGGUCGGAAGGUCUCCAUAUAUAGCUAAACAUCUGACGCGUCUGUGCAACUCUGCACCUCCAAAGACUCCAAAAGACUCCAAAAUCACCAUAUUUCUCCUAAACGUCCCUGAACCUGUAAAUACUCUAAAUAGACUCCAAAACAUAAUAAUUGUAUCUUAAAACACUUUAAAACACUUAUAGACCAUGAUUAAAAAUGGGUAAAAUAUAUGGUAUAUCAACUCCCCCAGACUUACCCUUUUGCUUGUCCUCAAGCAAAACAGACGGGCAGUCUCUCUGAAAGAGGUUUUGAAAACAGCAGAGACUCACAUGAUUUAAAACUUAGAAUCAUCACCUCUACAAUAUUGCAAUCCACAUCUAAGAAGUCCUAAUCACAGAAGCACAUUAUACAAUAUCCUAUCUUAGCAACCAAAUUCACCUAGCCAACAUCUUAGCAAAUCAUGUCUGACAUUCCCCUCUACCAACCUCAUUUCUUAACAUAAAUAAAUGUGUAUGCUUUACCUUGGGAGUAUCGAUCACAAGACACAUGGACUCUUACCCCAACAGGUAUCUGAGUAAACAGGUAGUCUUGUUCUGGUUUCUUUUACUCUAUAUCUCCCUUCUCUGAAUCCUUUUUAUCUCAAUUCCAAUGAACAAAGAUGCUGAUGCAGUCCAUCUUGUUCGCCAUCUUUUCGAUUUUUUUAUUAUAUAUAUAUUUUUUUUUCUUUUUCUUUUCUUGACAAAGUGUAGGCGAAUAGUGGGGUCAUCGGUAAUGUACCUACCCCUCGCUUCUAACAAUGUGUGAUCAUUCUAUUAGAGUAGAAUAAUGGGGUCAUCGGUAAUGUACUUACCCCUCUAAACCGCAAGAAAUCAUCUCAAUCUUUUAUUUUAUUUUAUUAGGAUGCCAAAGGGAGGAGAAAAGGAAACCAAAAUCACUGAGACUUUUACCUUUCAGACCUGAAGGAGGAAUCCGAUCCAGUGUAUACCAAGCCCCAAGACAAGCAGUUAAGUCAAAUUAGGUUGGAGGUCAGCUUCGGUUCCUUCAAACAAUCUCAGCAAGUGUGAACAUAGUUGACAGGUUGAUCCACUUUAGUAUCUUUAGUACUAUCUGCAAUCAGUAAGUCUAGAAUGGUGCUAAAGAGUGGUUAGAUAACAAGCAUGAAUCUAAUAAGUUCAUUAUCCCCUUCUUGACUCAAUAAAAACAGUUUUGAAAACACUUUAUAAAACUCAAUAGAUAAGCAAAUAUCAGUAAACAUCCCCCCAGACUUAAAUUACACUGUCCCCAGUGUAUAUCUAGUUGGAGUUAUGGUUAGAACAUAAAUAAUAAGUAGACAAUUUAACAGGUAAGAACGAUAACCUGCUCGACAUCAGUGUCGAUCGACACAAUGAAUAGACAAUCGAUCGAUGUUGAUGAAGUGCUUUCGAUUGAUAGUGACAUGGUCUCAUCGGUCGAUGGCUAGAGCAAUCAUUCGACACAAUGAAGAGACAAUCGAUUGUUGGAUAUGAAGCGCUGUCGAUCGAUAUCGAGCUGGUGUCAUCGGUCGAUGUGCUGAGCAAUCGUCUACUCGGAUCUGUUUUUUUUUUUUUUUUUUUUUAACUAACUAAAACACAAUAUUAGUAGAACCUCCCCCAGACUUAAACAACACUAUCACUAGCGCUAUCCAGUCUAAUAUUGGUGGGAAAAUAAAUCAUAAGGACAAUAUUUAACAAGGAAAAACGGUAUACCUGCUUGGAUGUAAGUGUCGAGGAACACAGUUAAGUGGCGAUCGAUACUCUUGAUGCUCUGUCGAUCGAUUGCUACGUAGCCAUCAUCGAUUCUCCUGCAAUCUCGUCUUCCUCGGAUCUUGUCCUUUUACCUAACAUAAACAACAUAUUUAAUACAAUUAAUAAAUAAAUAAUAAAACCAAUAAUCAAUAAAAAUAAUAAUAAUAAUAUUUUUUUUCCGAUGAACAGUGCUUUGCUACAGUGUCGCUCGAUGUUACAGUGUCGCUCGAUGUUGCUGCUACAGUGACUCUGCUGCAGUACCGUCGUUAUUGUUCAUUCUUUUUUUUUUUACCUGAAAUCUUUAGAAAACAAAGAAUCAGUAAUAAAUGAAAGAUAAACCAUAUUUAAAAUUACCUAACAGUGGGUUGCCUCCCACUCAGCGCUUAUUUUUAGUCAUUAGCUUGACUUCUGGAGAUUUGAUUAAGUCCGCAUAAGAAUGAGAACUUGCUCCAGACCAAGUCUCAAUGUCUACUCUUU
rnacentral:lncRNA from 1 species